ACACAAUCAAAAUAGUCUUAAUUUUGAAAAAGUAAUUAUUUAUGGGUGAUGGGUGUUUCAAGGGGCUCCGUGCAUCCAGAUGUCGCAGUUGGAUCGCAUCAUUAUCGUUUCUAAAUACCUAAUCAACGUACCAAUUCCGGAAUUUGCAUGACUAUAUAAUUCUCGUUUUUCCCUCAAGCUGGAAAACUAUCAACAUUUACAUUGAACUCAGAUUCAAAUGUCGUGAUUUAAAUGCUCAAAGGAGAUAUUCAAAUGCAAAGAUCAUCUGGUAAUUAUCCAUUAAAUUUCAUGGUUCCUUAUUUGAGCAUUAGUUUUGCGCAUUUUUUUUUCUUUUGUUUUGAAUCAGAGGGAAACCGGAGCCUCCAUUCAAUGGAUUCUAAUACAAUGAUUUCGCUCAGGUGUCAUGAUUGCAUUCAGAUGAUCAUGAUGAAAUAUCUGGUGAAAAAGCUACAGCUUAUAUUCUCCAAAGGAUGCAAUAUAGUUCUGAGAAGGCCAUGUCCUUGCCUUCAUCUCCUCAUGGAGGUCGGGCUUUUCGGUGAUGUGGACCGUCAUAUUUGGUAGGAGAUGAUGAUGAUAUGAUCUCAAGAUGCAAUAAGGUGCUUGAUUUGUCUAAGAUCCUCAACAAGUCUUUGGAACCUUUUGAAGAAUGGAAUAUUGAUUUCUCUGAAUAAACUGUUGGAACUCGAGUUGGGAUUGGUAAGAUUCAUGGUUGAUAGUUUAUCAAGGUUAUCACAUGCAUAUCAACUUGUCAAUAGUCUUUAAGAAUUUCAUAUUUGCCUUGUGAAUUGGUUAUAGAUCAAUGUUGUGGAUAUUGAAGAAAAGAGUUGUAAAUCAUGAUGAGGGUUAAAUUGACCAAAGUCACAGGUUUGAACAUUUCUCCUGAUUUUAAGAAGCAAAUUAAAAAAAUAUGAAAAUUUUGUUGAAAGUAUGAGGAAAGAAAUGGAUUAUUUCUUAGCUUUCUUUGCUUUUGUAAGUCUAUUGCUAAAACUAAUGAGUACUAGAAAUCUAUUAGAAGAAAAUAUCAAGCAAAUACAAUGUGUGGCAUGAUCACUUACAAGAAAUUGCUCAAAGUUUCUGUUUCAUUAAUUAUCUCUCUGGGUGAUGGUCAAAAGUAAAUAUUUCCCAAAGGCUAUACGUCCCCAAUAGUAUUUUCUUAAACUAUAAUCCUUUGUGCUGUUGCAACCCUAGAAUAAUUGCUUAAAUAAAUUAGGAGAAAUAGUAAUAUCUUGUUAGUGUACAUGUUGCAGACUUGAGGCUCUGAAGUUUGUAAGUUUUGAGACUGCAGUAAUUUCAUAAAUGUGGAUAGCUAGAAAUCAGGGUGGAGAUACAAGUGUAUAAUAGAUUGGGACUAAGGUUUUGUCUUGGUACUUUCUGUUACUGUUACAUGUUAUAUGCACCAUCAUUUUAAUUCGUGGCAGUUGUUCUAGAUUUCAAUGUCUAGAAAUCAUGAUCUGGGAAGAUGGGUUUAGGGCUACAAGAUGAGAAAAGGUUACUUAGUAGUGAUCUCAUGGUUGGACUAGCAGAAUUAUAUCAAGAAACAAUAUGAGAAUAGUACAAGCAACAUGGUCAUGGAGUUCAAGAAUCUUUUCCAGGUAGAAAGUGUUGCUCAAGAUUUGUCAGAGAACUCAAAUCUGCAAUAAAACUGCAGAAUUUCCUUUAGUCUUUGGAAGAAAGACACUAUAAAGCUUGCAUAAAGUUCCAGGCAAAGUACCCUAAUAAUGAAAAACCCACUCCCAAAAGAAUCCAUAUCUCAACCUUAUGUUUAUAAACUGAUGGGCUCAAUAUACAAGUAACUUAAUCACUUAAAGCUGCGACACAGAACAGUAUCAUGCUACAGUCAUUCAAAAUUGUGAAUAGUUUUAUAUAUAAAAUUACUUAAUUAAGGGUGGGACCCUUCACAGUUAUUCCUAGAAAUUGCAUCUCAAGGAUGUUAAAACUUCUCAUUUGAUUUUUGUUCUUUCAAUUUUUUUAUAAAACUUCAUGAGAUGUGAUCCUUACUGCUGUACUUAGAAAGUAUGCAAAGCAAUGUCAAAAUUUUUAUGCCCUCUAAGCCUUCGAAUGCCAUUUAUAAUGCAAUUCACAGAUUUCUUUAUUGCUUCAUCUGUAUCGUUUUAUAGAUCUAGUCUCGUUUUUUCUAUUCAGAUUUAGUGUUCAGAAUCCUAAUUUUUUAAGUUUCUGAACCUAAACACUAUCUGUUGGUUUCAAACAAUGUUGAACAUAUAAGCAUGACUUUGGGCAUUACUUAUGCUGCAUUUUCAUGACCCUACUAUUUUUAUGAAGUGAAGUGUUGUGGGCAGUACUAUGUUUUUUUCCUAUGCUGUAUCCAUAAAGAGGUGGUAUAUAUGUAUGUACCAUUGGAAAUAUGUUGAUUCCCUCUCAAUCUAGGAUCAUGAUUUGCAGUUCCACUUUGGCAAACUAGUUUUCCUAUGGUGAACUGUAGACUCCUACCUGACAUAAUGUUAACGAAUUAAAAUUAUGUUGUGGAUUGAUGAUUUUGGAGUUCCUAUUUGUUGCAAUAUAUAUAUAUAUAUAUAUCACUGUACUAGCUUUAUUAUGGGAUAUGUUUGUAAUAUUAUCUAAUUUUAGCUUUGAUAAGGUAAAUAUAAACAAAGUAAUAUUAAUGAACUUUUGCCUUAGGUUUUUAAUGCUUAUAUUUUUUGUUUCUAGGAUAUUUUGGGGAAGUUUUUCGUGGCAUUUGGAAUGGGACAAAUGUUGCAAUCAAAGUUUUUCUAGGACAAGAUUUAACCAUUGAAAAUAUUGAAGACUUCUGCAAUGAAAUAUCUUUCCUAAUACGUUAUCCUUAUCCAUUGAUUGCCUUAGAUUCUCAUCUUUUUUUGUUUUUAUUUUGAUGGAUUUUUCCCUUUUGUUUUUCUUUGUGGUACAGCCAUCUACGGCAUCCAAAUGGUAAUCUCCUAAACUUGGUUUGAUUAAUUUACACCUUUUAAUUUUUGUUUUUAAUAUUUGUUACAUGACUUGUGUCUAUUUUAUGGGUAUUGUUCUAUGUGAUGUCCCAUACAUCAAACCCUGGGUUUUCUAUUUGAAUAAGACUCUUUCUCCCUUUCCUUUCUUUCUUUUUAUUUUUCAAUUAUUUUUCCGUUUUUAUGAGAAAUAACUUUACAGGCUCUCCUUUGUGGGAAUUACUUAAAUUUUUCAUGAAGAAUUGAGACUUUUUGUUGUAGUUAUCUUGUUCCUGGGUGCUUGCAUGAAACCUCCUCAUUUAUCAAUGAUCACUGAAUACAUGGAAAUGGGUUCAUUACAUUAUGUGAUCCAUGGAAGUGGGCAGAAAAGGAUACUCAGCUGGAGAAGGAGGCUAAAAAUGCUAUGUGAUAUAUGCAGAUGUAGAUGUGACUCCUGAGGAUCCACAGAUUGGACAGGGAAGGCUUCAGGAUGCCCAAGGGGAUUUUGGAGCAACUUAGAGGACUUGUCAUAUUUUGUUGUGUUUGGUUAUUUGAAAACAUGUUCUAGUGGAUUGUUAAAUUAUAUAAUCGUAUAUGGACUUAUUUUGGAUUAGAUUUGCUCAUACUAUGGACUUUCAAUUUAGACUUGA